UACAGAGGUCUCAAGCGUUGUUCGGAUUCAUUGGGCGUAAAGGGUGUGUAGGUGGCGCUGUAAGUCGGGUGUGAAAUUUCGGAGCUUAACUCCGAAACUGCAUUCGAUACUGCGGUGCUUGAGGACUGGAGAGGAGACUGGAAUUCAUGGUGUAGCAGUGAAAUGCGUAGAGAUCAUGAGGAAGACCAGUGGCGAAGGCGGGUCUCUGGGACGGUACUGACGCUGAGACGCGAAAGCGUGGGGAGCAAACAGG
rnacentral:rRNA from 1 species